rnacentral:sRNA from 1 species
AUCAACUUUCGAUGGUAGGAUAGAGGCCUACCAUGGUGGUAACGGGUAACGGGGUGUUAGGGCACGACACCGGAGAGGGAGCCUGAGAAAAGGCUACCACAUCCAAGGAUGGCAGCAGGCGCGCAAAUUACCCAAUCCCGACACGGGGAGGUAGUGACAAUAAAUAACAAUACGGGGUUCUUUCGGAUUUCGUAAUUGGAAUGAGUACAAUUUAAAUCUCUUAACGAGGAACAAUUGGAGGGCAAGUCUGGUGCCAGCAGCCGCGGUAAUUCCAGCUCCAAUAGCGUAUAUUAAAGUUGCUGCAGUUAAAAAGCUCGUAGUUGAAUUUCGGGACCAUCAUGUCGGUCGUGCCUCGGUACGUACUGGCAUUGUUGGUUUCUCCCUUCUGACGAACCAUGAUGUCAUUUAUUUGGUGUUGUGGGGAAUCAGGACUGUUACUUUGAAAAAAUUAGAGUGUUUAAAGCAGGCUCACGCUUGAAUACAUUAGCAUGGAAUAAUGAAAUAGGACGUUUGAUUCUAUUUUGUUGGUUUCUAGGAUCGACGUAAUGAUUAAUAGGGAUAGUUGGGGGCAUUAGUAUUCAAUUGUCAGAGGUGAAAUUCUUGGAUUUAUUGAAGACUAACUACUGCGAAAGCAUUUGCCAAGGAUGUUUUCAUUAAUCAAGAACGAAAGUUAGGGGAUCGAAGACGAUCAGAUACCGUCGUAGUCUUAACCAUAAACUAUGCCGACUAGGGAU